AUGCCAUCAGCCGUUCGGUCACCGGGAGGGCAAAGCAAUGGAAUAUUAUUCAGCUCUGAAAAGGAAUGAAGUACUGAGGCAUCCUGCAACAUAAAUGAACUUCAAAAUAGGACUACCCUGGCAGUCCAGCAGUGAGGACAUGGUGCUGCCAAGGCCGGGGACCUGUGUUCAAUCCCUGGUCGGGGAACUAAGAUCUGGCAAGCCACUGGGUGCGGCUGAAAAGGAAAAAGAAAAGGGUAAAUAAGAUCAAUUUCGUCUGUUCCUUUUUCACUUUUUUAAUGUGGCUGCUAGAAA